GGGAGCGGCGCAAGGGUGAGUAAGGCGACGGUAACCAACCCUACGGUUGGGCAUAGCCGCGGGAAACUGCGGGUAAUUCCCAGCGACGUCACGACGAGGCCUCUCGUGGUGACCAAAGCUCCGGCGUCGUGGGACGGGCCGUUGUGGUAUUAGCUAGUUGGCGGGGUGACGGCCCACCAAGGCGGCGAUGCCUACCGGGCGUGCGAGCGUGGCCCGGCACACUGGGACUGAGACACUGCCCAGACUCCUACGGGAGGCUGCAGUCGAGAAUCUUCGGCAAUGGGCGCAAGCCUGACCGAGCGACGCCGCGUGGAGGACGAAGGCCUUCGGGUUGUAAACUCCUGUCGAGGGGGAGGAAGGCGGCGCGAGNCGCUUGACCGAUCCCUGGAGGAAGCACGGGCUAAGUUCGUGCCAGCAGCCGCGGUAAGACGAACCGUGC
rnacentral:rRNA from 1 species